rnacentral:rRNA from 1 species
GGGUUGUGAGGUUAAGCGACUAAGCGUACACGGUGGAUGCCCUGGCAGUCAGAGGCGAUGAAGGACGUGCUAAUCUGCGAAAAGCGUCGGUAAGGUGAUAUGAACCGUUAUAACCGGCGAUGUCCGAAUGGGGAAACCCAGUGUGAUUCGUCACACUAUCGUUAACUGAAUACAUAGGUUAACGAGGCGAACCGGGGGAACUGAAACAUCUAAGUACCCCGAGGAAAAGAAAUCAACCGAGAUUCCCCCAGUAGCGGCGAGCGAACGGGGAGCAGCCCAGAGUCUGAAUCAGCUUGUGUGUUAGUGGAACGGUCUGGAAAGUCCGACGGUACAGGGUGAUAGUCCCGUACACCAAAAUGCACAGGUUGUGAACUCGAAGAGUAGGGCGGGACACGUGGUAUCCUGUCUGAAUAUGGGGGGACCAUCCUCCAAGGCUAAAUACUCCUGACUGACCGAUAGUGAACCAGUACCGUGAGGGAAAGGCGAAAAGAACCCCGGCGAGGGAGUGAAAAAGAACCUGAAACCGUGUACGUACAAGCAGUGGGAGCACCUUCGGGUGUGACUGCGUACCUUUGUAUAAUGGGUCAGCGACUUAUAUUCUGUAGCAAGGUUAACCGUAUAGGGAGCCGCAGGAAACCGAGUCUUAACUGGGCGUUAAGUUGCAGGGUAUAGACCCGAAACCCGGUGAUCUAGCCAUGGGCAGGUUGAAGGUUGGGUAACACUAACUGGAGGACCGAACCGACUAAUGUUGAAAAAUUAGCGGAUGACUUGUGGCUGGGGGUGAAAGGCCAAUCAAACCGGGAGAUAGCUGGUUCUCCCCGAAAGCUAUUUAGGUAGCGCCUCGUGAAUUCAUCUUCGGGGGUAGAGCACUGUUUCGGCUAGGGGGUCAUCCCGACUUACCAACCCGAUGCAAACUACGAAUACCGAAGAAUGUUAUCACGGGAGACACACGGCGGGUGCUAACGUCCGUCGUGAAGAGGGAAACAACCCAGACCGCCAGCUAAGGUCCCAAAGUCAUGGUUAAGUGGGAAACGAUGUGGGAAGGCACAGACAGCCAGGAUGUUGGCUUAGAAGCAGCCAUCAUUUAAAGAAAGCGUAAUAGCUCACUGGUCGAGUCGGCCUGCGCGGAAGAUGUAACGGGGCUAAACCAUGCACCGAAGCUGCGGCAGCGACACUAUGUGUUGUUGGGUAGGGGAGCGUUCUGUAAGCCUGCGAAGGUGACCUGUGAGGGUUGCUGGAGGUAUCAGAAGUGCGAAUGCUGACAUAAGUAACGAUAAAGCGGGUGAAAAGCCCGCUCGCCGGAAGACCAAGGGUUCCUGUCCAACGUUAAUCGGGGCAGGGUGAGUCGACCCCUAAGGCGAGGCCGAAAGGCGUAGUCGAUGGGAAACAGGUUAAUAUUCCUGUACUUGGUGUUACUGCGAAGGGGGGACGGAGAAGGCUAUGUUAGCCGGGCGACGGUUGUCCCGGUUUAAGCAUGUAGGCUGGUUAUCCAGGCAAAUCCGGAUAAUCAAGGCUGAGGUGUGAUGACGAGGCACUACGGUGCUGAAGUAACAAAUGCCCUGCUUCCAGGAAAAGCCUCUAAGCAUCAGGUAACAUCAAAUCGUACCCCAAACCGACACAGGUGGUCAGGUAGAGAAUACCAAGGCGCUUGAGAGAACUCGGGUGAAGGAACUAGGCAAAAUGGUGCCGUAACUUCGGGAGAAGGCACGCUGGUGUGUAGGUGAAGUCCCUGCGGAUGGAGCUGAGACCAGUCGAAGAUACCAGCUGGCUGCAACUGUUUAUUAAAACACAGCACUGUGCAAACACGAAAGUGGACGUAUACGGUGUGACGCCUGCCCGGUGCCGGAAGGUUAAUUGAUGGGGUUAUCCGUAAGGAGAAGCUCUUGAUCGAAGCCCCGGUAAACGGCGGCCGUAACUAUAACGGUCCUAAGGUAGCGAAAUUCCUUGUCGGGUAAGUUCCGACCUGCACGAAUGGCGUAAUGAUGGCCAGGCUGUCUCCACCCGAGACUCAGUGAAAUUGAACUCGCUGUGAAGAUGCAGUGUACCCGCGGCAAGACGGAAAGACCCCGUGAACCUUUACUAUAGCUUGACACUGAACAUUGAGCCUUGAUGUGUAGGAUAGGUGGGAGGCUUUGAAGCGUGGACGCCAGUCUGCGUGGAGCCAACCUUGAAAUACCACCCUUUAAUGUUUGAUGUUCUAACGUUGGCCCCUGACCGGGGUUGCGGACAGUGUCUGGUGGGUAGUUUGACUGGGGCGGUCUCCUCCCAAAGCGUAACGGAGGAGCACGAAGGUUAGCUAAUCCUGGUCGGACAUCAGGAGGUUAGUGCAAUGGCAUAAGCUAGCUUGACUGCGAGCGUGACGGCGCGAGCAGGUGCGAAAGCAGGUCAUAGUGAUCCGGUGGUUCUGAAUGGAAGGGCCAUCGCUCAACGGAUAAAAGGUACUCCGGGGAUAACAGGCUGAUACCGCCCAAGAGUUCAUAUCGACGGCGGUGUUUGGCACCUCGAUGUCGGCUCAUCACAUCCUGGGGCUGAAGUAGGUCCCAAGGGUAUGGCUGUUCGCCAUUUAAAGUGGUACGCGAGCUGGGUUUAGAACGUCGUGAGACAGUUCGGUCCCUAUCUGCCGUGGGCGCUGGAGAAUUGAGGGGCUGCUCCUAGUACGAGAGGACCGGAGUGGACGCAUCACUGGUGUUCGGGUUGUCAUGCCAAUGGCACUGCCCGGUAGCUAAAUGCGGAAGAGAUAAGUGCUGAAAGCAUCUAAGCACGAAACUUGCCCCGAGAUGAGUUCUCCCUGAGACUUUAAGUCUCCUGAAGGAACGUUGAAGACGACGACGUUGAUAGGCCGGGUGUGUAAGCGCAGCGAUGCGUUGAGCUAACCGGUACUAAUGAACCGUGAGGCUUAACCUUACAACGCCGAAG